UUGAUCCUUUUUUGGAUUUGCAGAAGUUAAGUUUUCAACUGCUUAACACCGUGAUUUUCUCUAUUGAUUUCAAUUGUAAAUAAUGAAGAAAAUGCUCCAAAUCUCUUUGAUAUCGCUCACAGCCCACAGGUCAAGCUUUAUGACCAUAGAAGGUGUGGGAAGAAUGGUUGUACUCUCAUAUGAAGGGAAUGCAAGCUUACAUGAUAAAAUUACAACAUGUAGUGGACCCUUCAGAGAAAUUUGUCAUGACAGGUGGAAUAGACAACAAAGUGCGGUUUUGGAGCAUCAAGUCUGGAGAACUACUAUUUGAGAAGUUGUUUAUGACUUAUAUCUCCUUAUAAUUCUGUUGGGGAAAAAACGAAGGUAUAGCUCACUAGCUUUAGAACAUGCAACCAUUUAAUUUUCUUGUUAUCAUCGAUCUCCUAAGGCACAAUUAUUUUUUAGAAAAAGUCUGGCACAGUUGAACAUGUAGUCACUUUCAUAUUAUUAAAUUAAAUUUGGGAUAAUUUUAAACAUCUAAUUACAUUAAUGAGUUGAAUUUUGUGGACAUCAUUUUCUAUUAGAGACUUUGAAGACUAUAUAUAUAUUCUUUUAGCAUUACAUUGCAGAAUAUCUUUAAUAUGCAUGAAGUACAUAUAUGGUUUCCAAGUUCUUGUUCGACAAACUAGGAUAUCCAUAUAACUUUUUCCUGACAUAAGUUGCAGACAGUUACACAAGGACGGGAAACAUAUAUAAUCAGCACUCUUACUUUGGGAAAGCAUGGGUUGAAGUACCAGAUGGUCUCUAUAGUAUGACAUUGUGAUAGUUUUACGGCAAAAUAAGGAAUGAGUCAUAUUUUCUUUCUGGCAUUCAUCAAUCUGAUUUAUGAAAGUCAAUAAAUGUUCAAAGAAAGAUGUAUGUGAUUUAUCAUUUAGAUGUUGGCGUUAAUAAGUUGUGCAAGAUUAAUUUACA